rnacentral:rRNA from 1 species
AGAAUCAACGCUGGCGGCGUGCCUAACACAUGCAAGUCGAACGAGAAAGGGGAGCAAUCCCUGAGUAAAGUGGCGCACGGGUGAGUAACACGUGACUAACCUACCCUGGAGUGGGGGAUAACUGAGGGAAACCUUAGCUAAUACCGCAUAAUACCCACGGGUCAAAGGAGCAAUUCGCUUGGGAGGGGUCGCGGCCGAUUAGUUAGUUGGCGGGUAAUGGCCCACCAAGACGAUGAUCGGUAUCC